rnacentral:rRNA from 1 species
ACCAACAGGGAUUGCCCCAGUAACGGCGAGUGAAGCGGCAACAGCUCAGAUUUGAAAUCUGGCCCCCUCCGGGGUCCGAGUUGUAAUCUGUAGAGGAUGCUUUUGGUGACGCGCCUUCCGAGUCCCCUGGAACGGGGCGCCAGAGAGGGUGAGAGCCCCGUAUGGUCGGACGCCGAGCCUCUGUAAAGCUCCUUCGACGAGUCGAGUAGUUUGGGAAUGCUGCUCAAAAUGGGAGGUAAAUUUCUUCUAAAGCUAAAUACCGGCCAGAGACCGAUAGCGCACAAGUAGAGUGAUCGAAAGAUGAAAAGCACUUUGAAAAGAGGGUUAAAUAGCACGUGAAAUUGCUGAAAGGGAAGCGCUUGUGACCAGACUUGCGCCCGGUUGAUCAUCCAGCGUUCUCGCUGGUGCACUCUGCCGGGCCCAGGCCAGCAUCGGCUCUCCCAGGGGGAUAAAGGUCGCGGGAACGUAGCUCUCUCCGGGGAGUGUUAUAGCCCGCGGCGGAAUACCCUUAGGGGGGGCCGAGGCCCGCGUUCGCAAGGAUGCUGGCGUAAUGGUCACCAGCGACCCGUCUUGAAACACGGACCAAGGAGUCAAGCAUUAGGGCGAGUCUUUGGGUGUAAAACCCGCAGGCGCAAUGAAAGUGAACGGAGGUGAGAGCUUCGGCGCAUCAUCGACCGAUCCUGAUGUUCUCGGAUGGAUUUGAGUAAGAGCCUUACCGCUUGGACCCGAAAGAUGGUGAACUAUGCCUGAAUAGGGUGAAGCCAGAGGAAACUCUGGUGGAGGCUCGCAGCGGUUCUGACGUGCAAAUCGAUCGUCAAAUUUGGGCAUGGGGGCGAAAGACUAAUCGAACC